rnacentral:lncRNA from 10 species
UUCUCCAUGUUGUAACUUGUGUCAGAAUCUCCCUCCUUUUUUAAGGCCGAAUAAUAUUCUAUUAUGGUAACUGUGUGUCCAUAAUAAAAUGUUUAUGUGCAUUUUUCUAAUAAUCAGUGAUGUUGGACAUCUUCAAUUUGCCAUUUGGAAAUCUGAGCUUAUUUGUCAUUUGUAUAUCUCUUCAGUGAAAUUACUAUACAAGUCUCUUUGUAUAGUAAUAUAUAUCUCUUUGUAUAGUAUUGUAUAUCUCUUCAGUGAAAUUACUAUACAAGUCCUUUGUCAUUUGUUUUUGAAAAGUUUUUCUGGGUACUGGUGAUUUUUAGUUAGAUGAGUAAGUUCUUCAGAUUUCUAGGAUUUCAGUGCACCCAUCACCCGAGCAGUGUACACUAUACCCAAUAUGUAGUAUUUUAUCCCCCACCUCCCUUCCAACCUUCCCCUUCGAGUCCCCAAAGUCCAUUACAUCAUUCUUACAACUUUACAUCUUCAUAGCUUAGCACCCACUUAUAAGUGAGAACAUAUCACAUUUGGUUUUCCAUUCCUGAGUCACUUCAUUUAGAAUAAUGGCCUCCAGCUAUAUCCAAGUUGCUACACAUUGUUUCUCUCUUGUUCUUUGCACUAUAUGUAUUUCCUCGAGGACCAGAGAUUUCUUUGUUUUCCACUUGUGUUCAUGUUAUCUCAAAUCUCUAGCGAUCCCUUAGCCUUUGUUCAUAUUUAAGGUUCUGCUAACAUGAAUGAAGUGUUUCAACUGGCUGAUUUGCUUUAGGGAGAUGACUGAGUAAACAAGUUAUUAUACCAGGGUUCUUAAAUGACACCAUUUAGAGGUCAUUUGUUGGGGGGGGUGGGGGGACACUGUCCAAUUUACUUAGAGAAGAAACUUCUGAUCUUCUAACUGGGAAUUAGAGGAAAUUAUGCCAGUAUUAUGUACAUUGUAGUAAUUGGCAAUUCCAUGUAUAGACUUCCAUCUCCAUGUUUUGAACUUUUCUCUGCUGAACCUAACGUCUAAAAAUAUCUUCUGACCCUCACUGGGUUCUGCAAGAAAAUCAUUUUUCUUCUUACUCAUAUCUUUUCUGAGACCCUCUUGGCUGCAGCCUCCCUACUACAUCUGUGAAAACGCCAUUCACUUUCCAUCUUCUAGAAUCUUGUUGAACUCCCUCUUUUUCCUGACACCUCUUUCAUUCUCGUCUGUGAAACUGUAUGAAUUUAUUCUGUUGUAAUCACUCUAUUACAAGAUCAAGAGGAAAGUGACAAAUGCUGACUUUAACAGGAAGUCAUCUCUCUCUCUCCACCAGCGGUCAGGAUCCCACCCCACCUAUUGCUGUGGGACUUCACUCUUGUCAGGACACUCCCACUCUCCUGUAUCUCUGACCAUUCUUUCUCUGAUUGGCUUUUUCCCAUAUUCAUCACAUGCUCAGAUCUUUAUCAGCUAAAAAUUAAAAAGAAAUCUUAAAAAAAAUUAAAACAGUGCUUAGACUAUAGUAAACUCAUCCAUGGUGAUCUCUUUCAUCUCUCUAUAGUCAAGAAUCUUAAAUGAAUGGUCUGCAUUUGUUUCUCCUUAUUGUUCAGUGAUUCUUUGCAAUCUGGCCUUCAUUACCACUCCACAGAAACUAUCCUGAUCAUGUGAUGCCUUUGUUACUAAAGCUGGUUGAUACUUUUCCAUAUCUGCUCGAGCUCUCUGUAGCAUUUGACAUCAGUGGCCAAGCCCUCGUCCUUCCUCUGCCUUCCACAGAUCAUGACACCAAAGUUUCCUUCCUGGCUCUCUAUUAGUUUCUUCUCAGUAUUUUCCAUGAAUUCCACUUCCCCUGUCUAUCCCUUAAAUGUUACUAUUUUUUAAGAUUAUGUACUAAGUUUUUUCUAGUCUCAUUCUGAAAAUUAUUUACAAAUUAUCUCUUCUAAUUCUAUACCUAUAUUUAUCAACUCAGUCUCAAUGACUCGAAAAUGAUAUCUUUAGUCCAAAGGUUUUUCUUUUAUUCCAAAUUUCUAUACCCAAUUACUUUCUGGGGGUGUGAACUACCAUGGCCUAUGAACACUCCAAAAUCAACAUCUUCCCUCACCUCCCAACCAUCAUCCAUCCAGUUGUCUAAGCCAAAUACUUGUGUAUCUUCCUAGAAUCCUAGCUUCCCCACUUACACAUAAUCAUCAACUCUUUGGGGGAUCUAUUUAAUUCUAUGUGAUAUAUCCCCAACUGAUUCAAUUUCAUCCAAUUUCAGUUAGGCAACAGACAUAAUUUGUCUCUGUGCCUCAAGUCUUAUUCUCUAGAAGGCUUCCCUGAACCUCCACAAAACUAGUUUUCUCCUUAUACAUUCUUUUUUUUUUUUUUUUUUUUUUUUUUUUUUUUUUUUUUCCUGACAGAGUGAGACUCUGCAGUGCAGUGGCUGAUCUCGGCUCACUGCAAUCUUCGCCUCUCAAGUUCAAGCGAUUCUCUUGCCUCAGCCUCCCGAGUAGCUGGGAUUACAGACACCUGCCACCAUGCCUGGCUAAUUUUUGUGUUUUUAGUAGAGAUGGGAUUUCACCAUGUUGGCCAGGCUGGUCUCCAACUCCUGGACUCAAGUGAUCAGCUUGCCUAGGCCUCCCAAAAUGUUGAAAUUACAGGCAUGAGACACUGCGCCUGGCCUCCUCAUUAUACAUUCUUAUUCAAUGCUGUACUCCUCAUUCAUAGCAAUCCUCCCAAGUAUAAAUAAAUUACUUAUUACCAGGCAUGGUGGCGGGCACCUGUAAUCCUCAGAGGAGGCCACUCAGGAGGCUGAGGCAGAGAAUUGCUUGAACUUGAACCCGCGAGGCAGAGGUUACAGUGAGCUGAGAUAGCUGCCAUUGCACUCCAGCCUGGGCAACAAGAGCAAAACUCCAUCUAAAAAAAAAAAAAAAAAAAAAAGUUUGCUACAAUAAUCUAGGCAAAUCCUGUACUAACAUAUGGCAGCAGGACAAAGAGAAGUAGAUGGACUGAUGCAAUGUUAAAGAGGUAUUAGGAGGACAGGAUCAUGAAGGAGAUGGAAGAAUUGAAUUUCACUCUGUAAUUCUGGUUUGAGAUCCUGGACUAAUGGGAGUACCACUCAUGGAUAUGAGAAAAGGUGAGAAAUAAGAAGAAAGGUGAGAGACAUAGGAUAAUAUAAAUUAGAGAUAUGUUGAGUGUAGCUGCUAGGAUUGCAUUCAAGUGAAUGCAAGAAAAUCUAAUGUAGUGGUUAAUUCUUAUUUAGUCACACAGCAAAAACCUGGGAGUGUGCAAUCCAGGCUGGAUUCUGUAUCUAAAUAAUGCCAUCAGGUACCCAGUUCCUUUAGUUGUCCUGCUCUUCUUCCCUAUAGUAUAUUCAGUCUCCAUGGUCUCAAAACAACUACUGUACCUCCAGAGUUUUAGGAAGGAAAAAGAAUAAGGAGAAGAGGUUACUCCCAAGUAUGUUACAUUUGCAAAAUUUUUAGCAUGGCCACCCUUAACUACAAAUGUGUAAUGGUUAAUUUUAUGUGUCAACUUGUCUAGGCUAAGGAAUGCCCAGAUAGCUGGUAAAACAUUAUUUCUGAGUGUGUCUGUGAGGGUGUUUCUGGAAGAAAUUAGAAUUUGAAUUGGUAGACUGAGUAAAGAAAAUCUGCUGACACAGGUGAAACAUUAUCCAAACUGUUGAGAACCUGAAUAUAAUAAAAAGGUAAAGGAAAGGCUGGAUGAUCUCUAGAGGUCUUCUUGUGAUCAGCACAUCUGUGUUAGCUCUAAAUCACAUUCUUGUGCAUUCUAAACCAGGCUUCAUUUCUGUUACUCAAAUUCCUAAUUAGUAAAAUAUUUUAGAAUAAAUAAAAAAUUUUAAUUAAAAAAUAGGACAAAACAGAGAAUAAUUCUAAGGAAAUAUAUAUAAUUAAGUCAAAGGCACAGAUUAUCCUUAGACUGCUUAAUUGAUACCCAAAUAGUUACUUGAAUAAUUAAGUUUUAAUGAUAGCAGUUACUGAAUCUUCAAAAUACAAUUGAAUAACUCAGUAAAAUAAUGGUGAACCCUAUUGUUACAGAUUUAUACUACAAAUUAUCUUCAAUGCAUUUCUAAAUUAUGCUAUCAUGAAACUGCAUAUCCCUAGGGAUAGCAAAGACAAAGCUAAACCAAAUGUUGAAGACAUUAUUGUAAUGAGUCAGGAGAAACCUGAACCUGGCCUGUGAUGUCAUUUGUUCUGCUCAACUGCAGUGACUUAAACAGUAAGGCUUAUUUUAUAUUUAUUAUUAUUAAUCAAAUAAAUGGGAAAAAUCAAGAUAAAUUAGUUGACUUUAGUCAAUAAAAAUCUAUCAAAUUUACAAAAAAGUAAAGCUCCUCUUUCUAAAUAUUAUAAAGAAAAUAUCAACCUGAAAUAGCACAUUGCAUUAAACUUCUCUAAAUGCAAGUGCCAUAAUUAAUUGUCCAUUUCAAAAUGUUUCAAGGUACCUCAUGUUAGGACAAGCAGCAUUAUUAAAAGAGUAAAUUAAGUGUGUGGCUUAAAAUCUCUCCUGAGUUUUGAAACAGGGUUUCAAAUUAUUUCUAAUUACUUAGAAUUAGUUGGAUUCAUUCCAUUUAAUUCAAUUUAACAAAAUUUCUUGGUAUAUCCUAUGCACAAAACACUGAAAAAAAAUCUGAGAAGUCACAAAGAUAAAUAAGACAUCAACUCUGUGCUUCUUUAUCUAUUUAUGUUUUACUGAUACAUAAUAAUUGUACAUAUUUAUGCAGUACAUGUGAUACAAUGUGUAAUCACCAAGAAAGAGUAUUUAGGAUACCCAUCACUUCAGACAUUUAACAUUCCCUUGUGUUGAGAACAUUCCAAAUCUUUUCUAGAUAUUUUGAAAUACAUAAUAAAUUACUGAUAAGCAUUGUCAUGCUACUAUGCUAUUGAACACUAGAACUUAUUCUUUCUAUCAAAAUGUACUUUUUGUACCCAUUACCUAACCUCUUCAGGAAAUCAACAUUAUUUUAAAUGAAGUAACACUUGUUGAACACCUUCUGUGUAUCUUUCUUGCACUGCAAUAAAACUUCAUAACACUCUUUUUGACCUGUUUGACAGAGGAAGGAAACAAAACCCAGAGAGAUGAAAUGACUACCCAAGGGCAUAGGGGUAGUUGUGGUAGGACUGAGAUUUGAAACUAGCCUUGCUUUUCCUAAGUUCAUUUUUUACUUUACUAUACCACAUUUAGCUGUAAGGAAAAAUAAAAGAGAGAAAUAGAAUCAGCACUGGAAACUGAAAAGAACAGAAAAAUAGAUUAGGUCCAGAAGGCAAAAUGCUGACCAGAACUUCCAUUUGGCAAAGCCCCUGUGGAAAACAAGCAAAAGGAGCAUCACUUAAAAAAAAAAAAAAAAAAAAAAGCCAACAGCAGGAAUCCAGGUGGGAAAGGGAGGGGAGUGUGGAACAGAACAUGUACCAACCUCAAGAAUUCAGUGUGAGCCUUUAAGAGUGAGGCUUACAGGAGUAGGAAGAAAGAAUUCUUUGUGAAAUUGUAUUUACAGAGAAUGUGGUUUUUGAACUAGACUCCAAGGAUUGGAUAAUUUUAGUAGGUGAAGAAAGGAGGAGAGGAAAUUGGAGAUGGGUCCCAGGAAUCUACAUUUUUAACAAACUCUUCCCAGUACUUCUAGUUGAUGCUAAAAUUUGAGAACUGUUUAGUCAGAUAUUUGGCAAGUAUAUCACUGUAAUAAAUAACUACACCUAAUUUAAUGGAAAAAAGAUUAUUAAAAGGGAAAGAGCUCAUUAAUUUUAGCUGUAAGAUCAAAUAUUAACAAUUUCAGAGGUGUAUCUCCUUGAUAUGGUUUGACUGUGUCCCUGCCCAAAUCUCAUCUUGAAUUGUAUUUCCCAUAAUCCCCACAUGUUAUGAGAGGGACCUAGAGGAGGUAAUUGAAUCAUGGAGGCAGUUACCCCCAUGCUGUUAUUCUCAUGACAGUGAGUGAGUUCUCAUGAAAUCUGAUGGUGUUAUAAGGGGCUUUUCCCCCUUUUGCUGGGCACUUCUUGCUGCCAACAUGUAAAGAAGAACAUGUUUGCUUCCCCUUCCGCCAUGAUUGUAAGUUUUUUCUUUUUUUUGUUUGUUUGUUUGUUUGUUUGUUUGUUUUUUUGAGAGGGAGUCUCGCUUUUUUGCCCAGGCCAGACU